rnacentral:lncRNA from 1 species
GCUGUGUACUCUGGUGACCCCGGUUGCUGAGUUUCAGAAGGCCUCAGUGGGCACCAACAGUGUCUGGGCACCCCAGUACGGCCCCUUGUACUCAGGGCACAUCCCAGCCCCGGAUUACCAGCACAAUGUCUACAUCCCUGGCACCCCGACUCUGCUUUCCAGUAAGGAUGGCCCCCUGGUUCCAGGCCGUGAGAGCAAGAACAGCUUUUCCACCUUUGGCAAGAAGAAGAAAAUGACGACAUACUACGAUAUGCCUGACAGCGUGGUUAUCAACAACGACCUGAAAUAGUGUCUGGUGCCGGGCCUGGAUCACCCACAUUACACUUUACUUCAGCUGCUGGGUCCAUCUGCAGCACACAGCUCCAUGCACGGACUGCUCCAGAGUUUGUAGGGCUGCCUGGGGGUGGGGAAAGGAGUGAGAGGAUGAGGCAGGAUGGAAGGGGG